CGGGCUGUGGCUCAAUUGGCUAGAGCACCUGGUUUGGGACCAGGGGAUUGAGAGUUCAAGUCUCUCCAGCCCGA
rnacentral:tRNA from 1 species